rnacentral:rRNA from 1 species
GAGUUUNNNUCCUGGCUCAGAUUGAACGCUGGCGGCAGGCCUAACACAUGCAAGUCGAACGGUAACAGGAAGCAGCUUGCUGCUUCGCUGACGAGUGGCGGACGGGUGAGUAAUGUCUGGGGAUCUGCCUGAUGGAGGGGGAUAACUACUGGAAACGGUAGCUAAUACCGCAUAACGUCGCAAGACCAAAGAGGGGGACCUUCGGGCCUCUUGCCAUCAGAUGAACCCAGAUGGGAUUAGCUAGUAGGUGGGGUAACGGCUCACCUAGGCGACGAUCCCUAGCUGGUCUGAGAGGAUGACCAGCCACACUGGAACUGAGACACGGUCCAGACUCCUACGGGAGGCAGCAGUGGGGAAUAUUGCACAAUGGGCGCAAGCCUGAUGCAGCCAUGCCGCGUGUAUGAAGAAGGCCUUCGGGUUGUAAAGUACUUUCAGCGGGGAGGAAGGCGAUGCGGUUAAUAACCGUGUCGAUUGACGUUACCCGCAGAAGAAGCACCGGCUAACUCCGUGCCAGCAGCCGCGGUAAUACGGAGGGUGCAAGCGUUAAUCGGAAUUACUGGGCGUAAAGCGCACGCAGGCGGUCUGUCAAGUCGGAUGUGAAAUCCCCGGGCUCAACCUGGGAACUGCAUCCGAAACUGGCAGGCUUGAGUCUUGUAGAGGGGGGUAGAAUUCCAGGUGUAGCGGUGAAAUGCGUAGAGAUCUGGAGGAAUACCGGUGGCGAAGGCGGCCCCCUGGACAAAGAC